rnacentral:rRNA from 1 species
AUUGAACGCUGGCGGCAUGCCUUACACAUGCAAGUCGAACGGCAGCACGGGUGCUUGCACCUGGUGGCGAGUGGCGAACGGGUGGGUAAUACAUCGGAACGUACCUUAUCGUGGGGGAUAACGCAGCGAAAGCUGUGCUAAUACCGCAUACGCCCUGAGGGGGAAAGCGGGGGAUCGAAAGACCUCGCGCGAUUAGAGCGGCCGAUGCCUGAUUAGCUUGUUGGUGGGGUAAAAGCCCACCAAGGCGACGAUCAGUAGCUGGUCUGAGAGGACGAUCAGCCACACUGGGACUGAGACACGGCCCAGACUCCUACGGGAGGCAGCAGUGGGGAAUUUUGGACAAUGGGGGCAACCCUGAUCCAGCAAUGCCGCGUGAGUGAAGAAGGCCUUCGGGUUGUAAAGCUCUUUUGUCAGGGAAGAAACACCGGCUCUAACACAGUCUGGGAAUGACGGUACCUGAAGAAUAAGCACCGGCUAACUACGUGCCAGCAGCCGCCGUAA